AGCUUUUCGCAGUGGCAGUAUCGUAGCCGAUGAGGUUUAUCCGAAGCGCGAUUAUUGCUAAUUGAAAACUUUUCCCAAUACCCCACUAUGACGUCUUGAAAUAUAGUCGGCAUUUGCAGUUUUUGGCAGUCUCUACGGAGA
rnacentral:snRNA from 1 species